rnacentral:rRNA from 1 species
ACUCAAAUGAAUAGACGGGGGCCCGCACAAGCAGCGGAGCAUGUGGUUUAAUUCGAAGCAACGCGAAGAACCUUACCAGGUCUUGACAUCCAGUAAAAACUGUCGAGAGGCAGUGUCCCUUCGGGGGUACUGAGACAGGUGGUGCAUGGUUGUCGUCAGCUCGUGUCGUGAGAUGUUGGGUUAAGUCCCGCAACGAGCGCAACCCUUAUUUUUAGUUACUAACGGGUAAAGCCGAGGACUCUAAAGAGACUGCCGGGGACAACUCGGAGGAAGGUGGGGACGACGUCAAAUCAUCAUGCCCCUUAUGACCUGGGCUACACACGUGCUACAAUGGCUACUACAAAGAGGAGCAAGCCCGCAAGGGGGAGCGGAUCUGAGAAAAGUAGUCCCAGUUCGGAUCGUGGGCUGCAACCCGCCCACGUGAAGUCGGAGUUGCUAGUAAUCGCGGAUCAGCAUGCCGCGGUGAAUACGUUCCCGGGCCUUGUACACACCGCCCGU